rnacentral:lncRNA from 1 species
CUUUUUGAGUCUGCUCUGUCAGAACAAGUGAGAAAUGACUUCAAAAUUUGCUACCAGCUUUCCAAUUGCACAAAGCGAAGUGUGACUAGCACAUCAAAGUGGCAUAAGUCAGGGAAAAGUGGCAUUCGUACUGAGUUGAUAACAAUUGAAGUGCUUUGGGAUUCAUGUGAAAUGCAAAGGUUCGGUAAAUGUCAAUUCAUGGGUACAAUGCAACAGAUAGAGGAUUUGGGCUUGAACGGAUCAUAGGUAUUUUCUGUGAUAAGGGUGAUAGAGAAAGUGGUUAGCCAAUAACAAUCAAGGUCUUCCAAGUUGAAAUCAAAGUUAUCAUGGCAAGUGUAGGAGCAAUCACCCUCAAGAUCAAGGCCACAAAUCAACCACUAUGUUUUAAACUCACAAGUCUUCUUUGCUUGAAACAGGGACGAAGACUAUGUCCAAAUCAAAGAUUGGAAGUUGGAAUUUUUCAGGUAUCGUGCCCAAAUUUUGGGAGCACAAAGGUUGUUUGAGAAGGUUUUUACCUAGUUGAGAAGAUCAUACCUCCUAGGCAUUCUCCCUAGUUGGAAGAAUUUAUAGUUUUUCUUAAGUUCAGGGGUCCCGCCUGGAGAAUAGGGUCAAUUGUUAGUUUCCUUAAGUUUUAAUCUUUAGUUUUUUGAGUUCAGGGGUCCCGCCUGGAAAAUAUGGUCAAUUUUUAGUUUAGUCAAGCUCAGUUUAUAGUUUUCCUCAAGCUCAACCUCAAAUAUAGGAGAUGCACUUCCUAGUUUGGGUUUUUCAGAUUCUAUUUCUUUAGGAGGUGCACUUCCUAAUUUUAUGUUAAAGGCUUCACCCUUAGGAGACGCACUUCCUAGUGUGAGUCAUUUAAGUUCAUCCCUAGGAGACGCACUUCCUAGUUUGAGUAAUUUAAGUUCACCCCUAGUAGACUCACUUCCUAAUCUGGAUCUUUCAGGUUAUUCUUUUAGGAGACGUACUUCCUAGUUUGGGUCAUUCAGGUUUUAUUUUUAGCAGACGCAUUUGCAAGUCAAAUUUUCUUGGUUUUACUAAUAGGAGACGUACAUACUAGUCGAGUCUUUAGUUUUACUCUCAUCAUUGCAUCAAUAGCAUAGGUAUUUUACAGUUUUGCUAACAACUCACAAAUCUUCCUAGUGUAAACUGAGGCAGAAAAUUUUGUUUGUUGUGUUGUUUUAAUUGCAGGCACCCACUUGAAAAAUGAAGGGAAAUAUUUCAGAAAUCAAUUUUAGGUUCAAGUCAUUGGCAGGCGCCCACCUGGAGAACGAGGAAAUUUAUUUCAAUUUUAAAGUCAUCAGGCGCCCACCUGGAGAAUGAGGGAAUUUAUUUUAAGUUUUAAGUCAUCACGCGCCCACCUGGAGAACGAGGGAAUUUAUUUCAAGUUUUAAGUCAUCAGGCGCCCACCUGGAGAAUGAGGGAAUUUAUUUCAAGUUUUAAGUCAUCAAAAGCCCACCUGGAGAAUGAGGGAAUUUAUUUCAAGUUUUAAGUCAUCAGGCGCCCACCUAGAGAACGAGGGAAUUC